AGAAGAAGAAGAAGAUUCACUAAAGCUAUCCAGAGUUUGUUCCUCCUUGUUGUAAACCGGUUUCCCUCGUGAGUUCUACUCUUUUAGUCUCACAGUUCAUCAGGGCAUCUUUGUCCCGCUUAUGUUUGGGCGACCAGAUGACUGAGGCGUACUCGAGGUGUGAACUCUCUCGUUCAAAAGAGGAGAACGUGCGACAACGGAAACUACUGGACGCUGUUUUCAUCCCUCAGCUUCGGUUACACAGAGCAGGUUGGUUCUCUUUGUUUUAUUAUCACGUUAAACUGCUGACAAACCAGAGAGGACUGAAGUAUUUACAUCGUGCACUGAAGUAUUUACAUCGUGCACUGAAGUAUUUACAUCGUGCACUGAAGUAUUCACAUCGUGCACUGAAUUAUUCACAUCGUGCACUGAGGUAUUCACAUCGUGCACUGAGGUAUUCACAUCGUGCACUGAAGUAUGCAAACUUUUUGGCUCGGGGGCCGCAUUGAGUUU